GAUCAUUCAGGCAAUGCAGCUGCCCUGACUGCAGUAGGUCCCAAGCACAUACAAACAUCCCUGCCGACAACCACAGAUCCCAGCUGUACUUCAAGUUUGUGUCACUACUCCAUGGCUCUGAAACCUGCAGGCUGCUUCCAUCUGGUGAGGUCUGGGGUAUUUCUGGAAGAGAGAGAAAGGAGAAGAGUGGGAGAGUGAGGGAGAGAAGCAUGAAAGCAUGGACUGGCUACCUCCUUCACAUGACCUGACUGGGAACUGAACCCAUAAGCCAGGUGUGUGUGCCAGCUGGAAUCAAACCUACAGCACUCUGCUUCACAGGAGCUAUAAAACCCCAUGGCAAGGCUGAGUGAAUGACCUUCAGACUGUGAACCACUAAGGAGACAAAGCUUAUCUCCCUGGCAGGAGUGCUGCUUCUGCUUCAUCCAUCUCUGGCCCCAGUGCUUGGCCGGUUAGUCAAUAACAGCCCUUCUCCUCUUUAUUUUAGCAAUGGAUUGUGGAAAAUGAGAGAGUUUAUCUUGACAUGAAAAUAUUUCAACGCACAGCGAUCUUGCCGGACGGGCUCAUCAGCGUUUUCUGUACAACUGUUCCAGGAACUCGUAUGCAACUGAUCACCUCUUCCAUCUGUUGAAAAGACUCAAGCCUCAACUUGGAAGGAGCUGGAGCUUCUGCCUCAGGAUCUGAAUUCAUUCCCAUUGUUUUACUCAACAGAGUUCUGGGAUCCUGGCUCCCUUGUUGUUAUGACUGAAAAUACAGGUUUUUACCUGUUCCCAUUUUUAGUAAGAGUACUUAUUUUUCUUCCUGAAUAUUUAAAAAGUUUAGGCUUGCUUCAUCUUGCAAAUGUUAAUCUAGAGCAAACAGGAUUUGAAUAUAAAAACAGAUUUAUGAUUUGGAGAGUGUGAGCUUGGUUUUGGUUAUUCUGUAAGAAGAGUUAGAAGUCUUCUGAUGUAAGGACAUGAGUGUAAGUCAUAAGGCAAGAGAGUGAAUGAAAGGAGAAAAAAACAGCUUAAACCAUCCCCACUCCAAAUACUUUAAAGCACAGAGUUUAACAAGGUGGUGACUUAAAAAUUAACAUUUAACUUGUAUAAAAUUUUAGCUCUAAAAUUGACUAAUCAGUAUAGUCAGGUAUAAAAUUUUAUACUCUAAAAUUAACUAACCAAUAUGGUUGGGUAUUCUUAAUGCUGAUAAAAAUAAAGAUUCUGGGUUUUUAAAAACGGAUGUGUCAUGGAAGUGUGUGCUUGAAACCUAUAUGAUCCUGUUGACUAGUGUCACCCCAAUAAAUUUAAUUAAAAAGCAGAUUUUCUUAUUUUAAUAUGUGUUUCCCAUGCUAUAGAGAAUAUGAUACAGCACUACUUAACUUUGAAAAAAUUAGAGAUAAUAAAAUAAUGUUCCAAUCUAUAGCAGCCCAAUUUUUGUAGGACCUGGAUGUCUAUAGAAACUAGAAGACAAUACGGAGAGAGAGCUGGAGAGGCUGUUUUUAUAACCACUCCCAUUUUUGGCUCUCAAAUUAAAUCAUAAGGAUUGUUAGAAAAAAUAAAUAUUUUUUGCAAAACUUUAACAUGCAUGUGUUUAUAUAUAUCACAAGAUCAGAAAGUUACUAUUGUCUUAAUCAGUACUUAGGACUGAGACAACUGGGGUGGGCUUUAUGGUUUCUGAAAUUACCAGUUAUUCUAGAUAAUAGGAUAAAUGCUGUAAAAAAUGAUGCCCUUCAACUGAACCAUGCAAAUGUAUUAGUAUUAUUUGAUACAAAUUAUUUUGGUCCCACUUACUUAUGUAUAUGUUGAUUAGUUUUCCAUGGUAAUUUCACAUUAUUUCUUAAGAUAUCUGAAAACUUUUUCUUUAUGAUCAUGCUCUUAUACUUCCGAUUUGGUGACAUUUUUAUUUUAGCUAAAACAUGGACAUUUCCCUAAUUUGAAAUGAGUUAAUGUGAGCACAGAUCCUAAUCAGAUCCAAAAUUUUAAGUGCUCAUAAAAAUCUGAAAUUCUGCAACAACACUAAAUACCCAUAUGCAGAAAAAAGAAAAACCAAUUUACGUAUUUGUGGCACUUGCAGUGAACUUUCACAGCCAUUUCUGCCGGGAUUGUUUGUUAAGCAUUCUACCAUAUUAAUGUAGUUUUGGAAGAAAAUGAAAAAGUGAAGUUUAAAUGUCACAUUCAAAGUACUAUGAGUAUAAGAAACAUAAUCCCAGAGCCAAAAAUCACCAAUAAAAACAAAUUAUACUACUUAUGUAAACACUGCCCCUUAGGACAAGGAGGUGAUGGGUUUUGGUGCAAAGGAAAAAUGUAUGCCAUUAGGAAGUGAAGGUUCCUAAUAGUCUUAUGGUAGGCAUUUGAAGAGGUUUUAAGUCUUUAUUCAGAAUGAAUUGGGAACAUUCUAGAGAUGUCCUUCAUUUAUUUAUUCAACAAAUGAUGGUCUCUGUUGGAACACUGAGCUACUGGCAACUCCUGAUACCAAUUGUCUUAUAAAUAAGCCCUUAUAUAUGCUACUA